UACGGAGGGUGCAAGCGUUAUUCGGAAUUACUGGGCGUAAAGCGUGCGCAGGCGGUUUGUUACGUCUGUUGUGAAAUCCCCGAGCUCAACUUGGGAAUUGCAAUGGAUACUGGCAGGCUGGAGUAUGGUAGAGGAAGGUGGAAUUCCCGGUGUAGCAGUGAAAUGCGUAGAGAUCGGGAGGAACACCAGUGGCGAAGGCGGCCUUCUGGACCAAUACUGACGCUCAUGCACGAAAGCGUGGGGAGCAAACAGG
rnacentral:rRNA from 1 species